rnacentral:rRNA from 1 species
AGCGCGGGAGCAUCCUGGCGGCGAGUGGCGAACGGGUGAGUAAUAUAUCGGAACGUACCUUUCAGUGGGGGAUAACGUAGCGAAAGUUACGCUAAUACCGCAUAUUCUGUGCGCAGGAAAGCAGGGGAUCGCAAGACCUUGCGCUGAUUGAGCGGCCGAUAUCAGAUUAGCUAGUUGGUGAGGUAAAGGCUCACCAAGGCGACGAUCUGUAGCGGGUCUGAGAGGAUGAUCCGCCACACUGGAACUGAGACACGGUCCAGACUCCUACGGGAGGCAGCAGUGGGGAAUUUUGGACAAUGGGGGCAACCCUGAUCCAGCCAUGCCGCGUGAGUGAAGGAGGCCUUCGGGUUGUAAAGCUCUUUCGGCCGGGAAGAAAUCGCACAGGUUAAUACCCUGUGUGGAUGACGGUACCGGAAUAAGAAGCACCGGCUAACUACGUGCCAGCAGCCGCGGUAAUACGUAGGGUGCGAGCGUUAAUCGGAAUUACUGGGCGUAAAGCGUGCGCAGGCGGUUUUGUAAGACAGGCGUGAAAUCCCCGGGCUCAACCUGGGAACUGCGUUUGUGACUGCAAGGCUAGAGUAUGGCAGAGGGGGGUGGAAUUCCACGUGUAGCAGUGAAAUGCGUAGAGAUGUGGAGGAACACCGAUGGCGAAGGCAGCCCCCUGGGCCAAUACUGACGCUCAUGCACGAAAGCGUGGGUAGCAAACAGGAUUAGAUACCCU